GGGCGUCAGAUCUCAUUACAGAUGGUUGUGAGCCACCAUGUGGUUGCUGGGAUUUGAACUCAGGAUCUUCAGAAGAGCAGUCAUUGCUCUUACCCCCUGAGACAUCUCUCCAGCCCCUGAUAGCACACUCUUAACUGUUGUCUCCCUAGCCCCUAUAUUUAUGUUUAGGAAACAAUGUACCCCAGGCUGGCCCCAAACUUGCCAUGCAGUCAGGAUUAGUCUUAAACUCUUGACCCUCCUGCCUCUACUUCCCAUGGCUAAGACUUCAGGCUUACACCACUAAUGCCCAGCCAUUUGAUUUUACUGCCUAAAUUUAAUCCUGAUUUUGAGCCCUUACAUACUAGAAAUAUUACAUGAAUCUUGGUGUUGAGAUGCAUAUGUGUUAAACACGUGCUCUCCCACUGAGCAACACCAAGUACCUUGGAUGCUUGGUUUUCUGUGAACUCAUGGUAUGUACUACCACACAGACUACCUCAAAAAUCCCCACAGAGGGACUACUGGGCUCAGAGACAAGGAGUGAGGAGUUCUGGCUUGUGUGCCUUGUAAUCCCAGCACAUGGGAGGCAGGUGGUGGGAGUUCAAGGCUAGCCUCAGCUAUGAAGUUAUGCUCAAGGCCAGCCUGGGCUACAUGAAACCCUGCUUUGAAAAUAAAUAAACAAGCCAGGUGUGGUGGUGCACGCCUUUAAUUCCAGCACUUGGGAGGCAGAGGCAGGCAGAUUUCUGAGUUUGAGACCAGCCUGGUCCCUUGGGGUGAAGUGUGCUGGGCACAAAG
rnacentral:lncRNA from 1 species